rnacentral:rRNA from 1 species
GACGAACGCUGGCGGCGUGCCUAAUACAUGCAAGUUGAGCGCUGAAGGUUGGUACUUGUACCAACUGGAUGAGCAGCGAACGGGUGAGUAACGCGUGGGGAAUCUGCCUUUGAGCGGGGGACAACAUUUGGAAACGAAUGCUAAUACCGCAUAAAAACUUUAAACACAAGUUUUAAGUUUGAAAGAUGCAAUUGCAUCACUCAAAGAUGAUCCCGCGUUGUAUUAGCUAGUUGGUGAGGUAAAGGCUCACCAAGGCGAUGAUACAUAGCCGACCUGAGAGGGUGAUCGGCCACAUUGGGACUGAGACACUGCCCAAACUCCUACGGGAGGCAGCAGUAGUGAAUCUUCGGCAAUGGACGAAAGUCUGACCGAGCAACGCCGCGUGAGUGAAGAAGGUUUUCGGAUCGUAAAACUCUGUUGGUAGAGAAGAACGUUGGUGAGAGUGUAAAGCUCAUCAAGUGACGGUAACUACCCAGAAAGGGACGGCUAACUACGUG